rnacentral:lncRNA from 1 species
AUGGAGAAUAUUCCGUAUCGUUCUAAUCUAAGAAAAAUGUUACAGGCAGAAAAAAACCAUAACAAUGCAACAAAUGUAAAUGCUAGUUCGUAUGAUAAUGAAAAUGUGAAUAUAAAUAAUAAAUAUAACAGUAAGGACGAACAUACUUGGAAUAAAGGUGUUGAUUAUGAUUCUAGUGAAUACAAUGAGAACGUAAAGUUAACAGAACAAAACUUAUACCCCCCACCCGAAUAUGUUGGUUAUUACAAAUAUGAAGGAACAACACAACCUUCUACACGAUUAUAUGAUAAAUCUAAUUACAUACUGGCAAAUAAUGAUGAACUUAUAAAAUAUAAAAACAAAUACAAUAGUAACCACAACAAAAGCAAUGGUAGUAAUGGUAAUAGUAACCAUAACAACAACAAUGACAUUAAUAACAGUAACAAUAACAAUACAGUUAACAUAAAAUCUUUAUCACAAAAAAACAUCCAACCCUAUGAUUAUAUUAAUUCUGCUCUAAAUAGAAAUAUCCAAAAUUACUAUUUUAAUAACGAUUAUAACCAUAACGAUUUGAAUAAUAACAAUUUGAAUAAUAAUAAUUUGAAUAACAACGAUUUGAAUAACAACUAUUUGAAUAACAACGAUUUGAAUAANNNNNNNNNNAACAACGAUUUGAAUAACAACUAUUUGAAUAACAACGAUUUGAAUAAUAGUUAUGUAAAUAAUGAAGUGGGAAAUAUACAACAUUCUGUUUCCAAUUUAAACAAAAAAAAUUAUUUUAAUACAAAUGUUAUUAAGGGUAAAACUAAUGAAUAUAACCACAUACCAACAAACAAUUUCAAUAAUGGUUAUAACUACUUAAAACAUAAUGAAAAUAUACCACAUGAUACAAAUCAUGAUUAUUUAAUGAAAGAUUUUUUAAUGAACAAUUAUGUUACUUCUGUACGUGAUAAUGUGAACAGCAUGGGUGGAAUAAGUGGAAUGGGUGGAAUAAGUGGAAUGGGUGGAAUAAGUGGAAUAAGUGGCAUGGAUGGAAUAAGUGGUAUGGAUGGAAUAAGUGGUAUGGAUGGAAUAAGUGGUAUGAACGUAGUGAGUGACAUGGAUAGAAUGGGUGACAUGAAUGCUAUACCAAACAUAUCAGGUAUUUCCGAUGUAUCCGAAUUUAAUUUAAUAAACAAUGCAAACAACAUGAAUGGUAUUCCUUUUUAUUCAACAAAAUAUAUAAACAAUAUUGAUAAUAAAAAUAUGAAUAUUCCAUUACCCAUAAAUGACACGUCUUUAAAAUUUAAUAAAGCUGAAUAUGAACGUGACAUAACAAUGUUAAAAAAUACUAAACUUUUAAAUUCUAACUUAAACGAAAUGAAAAAUGUAAUAUAUGAUUCAAACGACAACAUGAACCAAAAUAAUUUACUACAGGAUAAUAAUUAUAACAAUAUUAAUAUAGAUUUGAAUAAAUUUCAAGCUAUUGUAUGUUUACAAAAAUUAGAAGAAAUACCAGUUCCUUUUACAAACAUCCAUGAUAUAAAAUAUUCAGUUAGUGUUUAUUUUAAUUCAUAUGAUGAUGUAUUACAAAAAUACGAAUCAAAAUGUUACAACUGUAAGAUAAAUGAAUCAAAUACAUACAUUGAUUGUUAUUUACAAAAUGAAAUAAUAACAUUACCUUAUAAUAAUGAAGAAUUUAUUUAUUUAAAAGUAAAAGAAACUACAUUAUAUAAAACCGAAAUUACUGGUAGAUUACAAUUAAAAGUAAAAUCUCUAUCACAAGAAUAUCCUUUACGUAUACCAAUAAUAGGGGAUGAUGGUAAUUCAAAAGGAUUUUUAAUUAUGAACUUUUUUAUUACACCUUCUUAUUAUGAUGUUAAAAAUGAUAUGAUAACCGAUAUAUCUUCUAUACCUAAUCAAACCAAAUCUACUAGAUUAAAAAGAAAAAAUAAUAGUUUUCAUUUUUUUGAAAAUUUUACUAAAUGGUGCUGUCAGAUAACAGAUUACGAGUUAGAUUAAAAAUGUACACACACGCAUACACAUAUACCUAUGUAAAAUAUAGAAAAAAACGGUACACAAUAUAUAUACAUAUAUAUAUAUAUAGUUAUACAUGUGUGUAUGUUUUUAACCUCUGUUUACAAAUCUUUUUUUUUUUUUUCAGUUUUUUAUUCAUUAGUGCUUUUUCUUCCUUAAGUGUUUUUUUUCUUGUUUUUGUGAUACAUUUGUGAUACACUUGUUUUAAAUUUUUUAUUGUUUUUCCCAUAAAUGUUAACAAUUUUUUAUUUUCUAAAUAAUUAACUUGUAAAUAUAAACUAUGUGUAUAUAUAUAUAUAUAUAUAUAUAUACAUAUGUACAAGCAUAUAUAUAUGUUGGUGCAUAUUCUUUUUUAUUUAUGCGUAUCCAUACGUAUAGCUGUUUACUAUAAUUUUUUUAAAUGUUGCCCUUUUUAUUUUUAUACGCACAUAAAUGCGUAUAUAUAUAUAUAUAUAUAUAUAUAUAUAUAUAUAUAUGUUGGUGCAUAUACAUAUAUAUGUAUGUACAACUAUCACCCUUUAAAUAAUUUAUAUAUUUGUUAAUAUAACAACUCGAUUUUUUUUUUAACUAUUAAAAUUAUUAUUUUUGCUACUACAUAAUAAUAAAUUGAUCGAUGUUAAAUCGAUUUAUUUUAAU